rnacentral:rRNA from 1 species
UACGGAGGAUCCGAGCGUUAUCCGGAUUUAUUGGGUUUAAAGGGUGCGUAGGCGGCCUAUUAAGUCAGGGGUGAAAGACGGUAGCUUAACUAUCGCAGUGCCCUUGAUACUGAUGGGCUUGAAUGAACUAGAGGUAGGCGGAAUGUGACAAGUAGCGGUGAAAUGCAUAGAUAUGUCACAGAACACCAAUUGCGAAGGCAGCUUACUAUGGUUUUAUUGACACUGAGGCACGAAAGCGUGGGGAUCAAACAGG